UACGUAGGGGGCAAGCGUUGUCCGGAUUUAUUGGGCGUAAAGAGCGUGUAGGCGGCCAGGUAGGUCUGCUGUGAAAACUCGAGGCUUAACCUCGAGCUGUCGGCGGAAACCAUCUGGCUAGAGUCCGGAAGAGGAGAGUGGAAUUCCCGGUGUAGCAGUGAAAUGCGUAGAGAUCGGGAGGAACAUCAGUUGCGAAGGCGGCUCUCUGGACCAGCACUGACACUGAGGCACGAAAGCGUGGGGAGCAAACAGG
rnacentral:rRNA from 1 species